AAUAGAGUAUUAUAUUAUAGUGUAGCUUUUUUUUUUUCAAUUUUUUUUUUUUUUUUGAGAGAGAGAUAGGUAGCACGCUACCUUUUCGUUUAUUUUAUUUCAUUUAAAAAUAAACUUAGCUGAAAAUAUAAAUCAACUAGAAUUCGAACUUGGGUCUCAAGUACCAACCACCAAGUCUUUUGUCACUUGCUCUAGGAACCGUCGAUUAUAUUAUAGUGUAGUUAAUUCGGAAAAAGUCACAUGU
rnacentral:lncRNA from 1 species